CACUGUACAGGACAGUGUGGACGAUAUGGAGGUAGCUGUUACGGAUACCUGGAAAAAAAAAAAAGGCCAAAAACGGUCAAAUGUUGAUGCCUUUGAUUCGAAGGAGCAGAAUUAGGUCCAGAUCGUGUCAGGCUCGGCGGACCCUCGAGGAACGUCUGACAUUGGAAACCCUUUGGUGGUGCCGGAGUCGUGUGCGGAUGUGGAAACUUCGCUUGUUCCACUGGCCGACUCCGAGCGGGACACAGAGAACGGUCCAACUUGUCUGUUUAUUUGUUCAUCUCUUCAGACGUUGAUGGAACUCCUCUAUUUACUUUUCUUUCCAAGCCUUCAAGUUAAUCAGCCACCUUUUGAUUUUACCAAGGAAUGAGACUUUCCAAAAGCAUCGGCCUCACCUGGGGCUUCUUGACAUUGCUAGGUCUUGCUUUGGGGGAAACCACAUCGAAGGGUGAUCCUUCUAUGUGUUCAUGGUUUUCAACUAUUCGCAGGCAACGUGUAAGUAAUAUACCUGUGGCUGUAGUUGGAGGCUUACAAACUUUAACUCCUUCAUACAGGUUUUGGAAAAUGCUCCGCAUGGUAGCGUACAGUAAGCAGCCAAGUGCCAGGCAGAAGUGUGCUAUGGUGGCCCGUAGACCAGCACGAUCAGUGGGUCCCAGCCUUGCAGUGAUACGGACAUUCUGGGACUCCAAGUCACCAAAUGCACCUCGUCCACCUCUUUAUGAAUAUCGCCACCCAAAGGAAGACAAGUCGAUGAUGUAUUUUCAGUUGCCGGAUGUGUGGCUCACUGAGAUGACCCCUUUGAGAGAAGGGUAUGGGAGCGAUUCCAUCAUCUGGGGACCCACUGCUACAGCUGAAUAUCCUACUGCCUCUCGUGCAAGCCCAACAGUUAACCCGCAGGACACAACGGGCCCAUUUCCUGUUGACAACCCUGAAAUGGUUAGCCAAGAUGAUGAGAUGGAGGGGAAUCGUCCAAGCAUCAAUCCCACAACUCCACUACCACCAUCACCAGUAUUGCCAGAUUGGAGGCGUCACACAGAUUUGAAUGUGAACGACUCUAAUAAGGCUGUUGGACUCACGGCACGGCAAGUUACCACCAUUGCCAGCAUCUGCUCCAUAAGCUUUGUGGUCAUUGCUGCUGCAGUCGUGCUUCGUACCAGCUGGGUUCGGUCACGGAACCAUUUGCGGCAUUCAUUACAACGACGCGACGGUGGUGGCAUUGAGGAGACAUGCCCUGUGACUCUGUCAUCACCAUCCAGCCGAAAGCCGCCAGCUGUGCCACCAAUUUUCACAACAUAUAGUGAUAUUGGUGUGGCGAUGUCACCUCCACAGCCAUCGCAGCCACCAUCCUGUGUCCUCUCAUCACCUGUUAUAAUCACAACAGCAUCCGACAUUGCACCUAGACUGUAUGACGGGAGAAGAAUUCCUCUGUACACUGUCUCCACCACCACUACUGUCGCCUCUGUUGCUCCUACCUUGACAUCGGCUUCAUUUCCACAGCUCCUGCCGGGAAGUCUUCACGGACCACCCAUCGCUAAAACAGCCUACAACGGCAGCAGGUUCGUCGCGCGGACGCGGGGCGGGCGUGGCGCGGCGCUGGGGGGGGCAUCAGCCACAGCCACGACGCCAGCGCGCGUCUUUCGUGCGAGAGCCGAGGUACACUGUGAUCCUGAGCUAACGUAGGCCUGGUGGGCCGGCCAGCCGCAACGAAGCGCUCCUGGCCAGGUGAGGCCUGCUUCCUGCAUACCCAAUACUGCCUUACUCCCUGCUUCCCAAAAUGAUUUGGUCCUGCUUCAGAAUUUCCA
ensembl:lincRNA